rnacentral:lncRNA from 1 species
AUACAUGGGCGUGAUCGGGCAGCUAAUUGGCAAACGAGCAUGAACGAGUACGAUGUGUGUGAUCAGAUGAUGAUGGAGGCUCUGUAGGCGUGAUCCAUUGGUCGAGAGGGUCAUGUGGCAUGAUCAGGCUACUUGGAACGUGCUUUGAGUUCUGUUAGAGCUCCAAUAUGCAUGAAACUAGGCUUUGGAUCCUUUAAAAGGAGGC